UAAAGUCUACAAGGGUCACUGGUUCC
rnacentral:piRNA from 1 species